rnacentral:rRNA from 1 species
UACAGGGGGUGCAAACGUUGCUCGGAAUCAUUGGGCGUAAAGCGCACGUAGGCGGUCUGUUAUGUCGGAUGUGAAAGCCCUCGGCUCAACUGAGGAAGUGCAUCCGAAACUGGCAGGCUAGAGUACUAAAGAGGGUCGCGGAAUUCCCGGUGUAGAGGUGAAAUGCGCAGAUAUCAGGAAGAACACCCGUGGCGAAGGCGGCUCUCUGGGACGUGACUGACGCUGAGACGCGAAAGCGUGGGGAGCGAACAGG